UGUGUAUAGGACACUCGCGUGUGCGCGUCGUUUGGCUCUUGGCUAACUGGGUAACGGAAUUUGGGCUGCUUGGCGGCAAUGCUGCGCGGUUUGUUCUUAACUUUUAUUUAUGUUAGGUGAAAGUGAGUGACAAGUUGGCAAAAACCGAAAAUGUUACAGAAAUGUGCGCAACGAUUCAAAUAAAUUAAUAAGCCAAAGUCAUUACCAAAUUAAAACUAGACACGCGAAAGGCAACAUAAUAAACACAGACAAAACAAAGGAAAAGGGAAAAGGAUAAAAGGAAAGGAGCUCAAGUCAAGUACGUCAAGUGUGGCGAGUCAAGAGGUUUGACUUAGAAGCUAGGAGCGUUUGAGCUGCUGGCAUGCUUUGGGCUUAACUAAUCCAUCGUCCCACUCCUCGUCCUCGUCCAUAUCCCCAUCGUAGUCGCCAUCAAAGGCACCGAAGCGAUGCUUGCCUCAUUAGCGACUUAGCGUUGCAAAUGCAUAGGUAAAGGAAGCCAAAAGCCAAAAAAAA